GACGAACGCUGGCGGCGUGCUUAACACAUGCAAGUCGAACGGAAAGGCCCCCACCUUGGUGGGGGUGCUCGAGUGGCGAACGGGUGAGUAACACGUGGGUGAUCUGCCCUGUACUUCGGGAUAAGCUUGGGAAACUGGGUCUAAUACCGGAUAGGACCAUGGUUUAGUGUCUCAUGGUGGAAAAAUUAUUGUUUUGGUGCAGGAUGAGCUCGUGGCCUAUCAGCUUGUUGGUGGGGUAAUGGCCUACCAAGGCGUCGACGGGUAGCCGGCCUGAGAGGGUGGACGGCCACAUUGGGACUGAGAUACGGCCCAGACUCAUACGGGAGGCAGCAGUGGGGAAUAUUGCACAAUGGGCGCAAGCCUGAUGCAGCGACGCCGCGUGGGGGAUGACGGCCUUCGGGUUGUAAACUCCUUUCGUUAGGGACGAAGCCACACCUUUUUUGGGUGUGGUGACGGUACCUUUGUUAAGAAGCACCGGCUAACUACGUG
rnacentral:rRNA from 1 species